GACAGAGGUUGCAAACGUUGUUCGGAAUCACUGGGCAUAAAGCGCACGUAGGCGGUCUGUUAAGUCAGGUGUGAAAGCCCCCCGGCUCAACCGGGGAACAGCAUCUGAUACUGGCAGACUCGAGGAUGGUAGGGGUGAGUGGAACUCCAGGUGGAGCGGUGAAAUGCGUAGAUAUCUGGAGGAACACCGGUGGCGAAGGCGGCAUCCUGGACCGGCAUUGACGCUGAGGCGCGAAAGCCAGGGGAGCAAACGGG
rnacentral:rRNA from 1 species